UAGGGAAUCUUCCACAAUGGACGAAAGUCUGAUGGAGCAACGCCGCGUGAGUGAAGAAGGGUUUCGGCUCGUAAAACCCUGUUGUUAAAGAAGAACAUAUCUGAGAGUAACUGUUCAGGUAUUGACGGUAUUUAACCAGAAAGCCACGGCUAACUACGUGCAG
rnacentral:rRNA from 1 species